CGAAGGUCCCAAGCGUUAUCCGGAUUUAUUGGGUUUAAAGGGUGCGUAGGCGGGCUAUUAAGUCAGUGGUGAAAGCCCCAAGCUUAACUUGGGAACUGCCAUUGAUACUGAUGGUCUUGAGUACAUUUGAGGUGGGCGGAAUGUGUCAUGUAGCGGUGAAAUGCUUAGAUAUGACACAGAACACCGAUUGCGAAGGCAGCUCACUAAACUGUAACUGACGCUGAGGCACGAAAGCGUGGGGAGCAAACAGGAUUAGAUACCCUGGUAGUCCACGCCCUAAACGAUGAUCACUCGAUGUGUGCGAUAUACUGUACGCGUCUGAGCGAAAGCAUUAAGUGAUCCACCUGGGGAGUACGACCGCAAGGUUGA
rnacentral:rRNA from 1 species